UACAGAGGUUUCAAGCGUUGUUCGGAUUCAUUGGGCGUAAAGGGUGCGUAGGCGGCGCGGUAAGUCGGGUGUGAAAUCUCGGAGCUUAACUCCGAAACUGCAUUCGAUACUGCCGCGCUUGAGGACUGGAGAGGAGACUGGAAUUUACGGUGUAGCGGUGAAAUGCGUAGAUAUCGUAAGGAAGACCAGUGGCGAAGGCGGGUCUCUGGACAGUUCCUGACGCUGAGGCACGAAGGCCAGGGGAGCAAACGGG
rnacentral:rRNA from 1 species